GAUCAGCCACACUGGCACUGGAACACGGGCCAGACUCCUACGGGAGGCAGCAGUGAGGAAUAUUGGGCAAUGGGCGAAAGCCUGACCCAGCCACGCGCGUGUGAUGAAGGCCUUCGUGUCGUAAAGCACUGUGGGGAGAGACGAAAAAGCGCAUCAGGAAAUGGUUGCGCCUUGACGGUACCUCCUUAGCAAGCACCGGCUAACUCUGUGCCAGCAGCCGCGGUAAUACAGAGGGUGCGAACGUUGCUCGGAUUUACUGGGCGUAAAGCGCGUGUAGGCGGACUCGCAAGUCGGUUGUGAAAUCCCUGGGCUCAACCUAGGAACUGCAUCCGAAGCUGCUUGUCUUGAGUAAUGGAGAGGGUGGCGGAAUUCCCGGUGUAGAGGUGAAAUUCGUAGAUAUCGGGAGGAACAUCAGUGGCGAAGGCGGCCACCUGGACAUUUACUGACGCUGAGACGCGAAAGCGUGGGGAGCAAACGGGAUUAGAUACCCUGGUAGUCCACGCCGUAAACGAUGAGAACUAGGUGCAGCGGAUAUUGACCUCUGCUGUGCCGUAGCUAACGCGUUAAGUUCUCCGCCUGGGGAGUACGGCCGCAAGGCUAAAACUCAAAGGAAUUGACGGGGGCCCGCACAAGCAGUGGAGCAUGUGGUUUAAUUCGAAGCAACUCGCAGAACCUUACCAGGGCUAGACAAACUAAGAAUCCUGAAGAAACUCGGGAGUGCUCGCAAGAGAACUUAGGUCCAGGUGCUGCAUGGCUGUCGUCAGCUCGUGUCGUGAGAUGUUGGGUUAAGUCCCGCAACGAGCGCAACCCUUAUCCUUAGUUGCCAUCAUUUAGUUGGGCACUCAAAGGAGACUGCCGGGGUCAACCCGGAGGAAGGUGGGGAUGACGUCAAGUCCUCAUGGCCCUUAUGUCCUGGGCUACACACGUGCUACAAUGGUCGGUACAAAGCGCUGCGAAGCCGCAAGGUGGAGCGAAUCGCAAAAAGCCGGCCUCAGUACGGAUUGCACUCUGCAACUCGAGUGCAUGAAGUCGGAAUUGCUAGUAAUCGUCGAUCAGCAGGCGACGGUGAAUACGUUCCCGGGCCUUGUACACACCGCCCGUCACACCAUGGGAGUCGAGUGCUCCAGAAGUGGCCACGCUAACCCGCAAGGGAGGCAGGUCCCCAAGGAGUGUUUGGUAACUGGGGUGAAGUCGUAACAAGGUA
rnacentral:rRNA from 1 species